rnacentral:misc_RNA from 1 species
GAUGAAGAACGCAGCGAAAUGCGAUAAGUAAUGUGAAUUGCAGAAUUUAGUGAAUCAUCGAAUCUUUGAACGCAUAUUGCGCCCGCCAGCACUCUGGCGGGCAUGCCUGUUCGAGCGUCAUUUCACCACUCAAGCCUCGCUUGGUAUUGGGCAACGCGGUCCGCCGCGUGCCUCAAAUCGACCGGCUGGGUCUUCUGUCCCCUAAGCGUUGUGGAAACUAUUCGCUAAAGGGUGUUCGGGAGGCUACGCCGUAAAACAACCCCAUUUCUAAGGUUGACCUCGGAUCAGGUAGGGAUACCCGCUGAACUUAAGCAUAUCAAUAAGCGGAGGA